rnacentral:tRNA from 1 species
GCCAUUCUAGCUCAGCAGGUAGAGCAGCUCACUCGUAAUGAGCAGGUCGUGAGUUCGAGUCUCACGAAUGGCU